rnacentral:rRNA from 1 species
UACGUAGGGGGCAAGCAUUGUCCGGAUUUAUUGGGCGUAAAGAGCUCGUAGGUGGUUCGGUAAGUCGGAUGUGAAAUCUCCAGGCUCAACCUGGAGGGGUCAUUCGAUACUGCCGUGACUAGAGGUCGGUAGGGGAGUGUGGAAUUCCUGGUGGAGCGGUGAAGUGCGCAGAUAUCAGGAGGAACACCCGUAGCGAAGGCGGCACUCUGGGCCGAUACUGACACUGAGGAGCGAAAGCGUGGGGAGCGAACAGG